rnacentral:rRNA from 1 species
UACGUAGGUGGCAAGCGUUACUCGGAAUCACUAGGCGUAAAGCGCAGGUAGGCGGUUUGGUAAGUCUUUUGUGAAAGCUCCCGGCUUAACUGGGAGAGGUCAAGGGAAACUACCAGGCUAGAGUGUGGCAGAGGAAGCUGGAAUUCCCGGUGUAGCGGUGAAAUGCGUAGAUAUCGGGAGGAAUACCUAUGGCGAAAGCAGGCUUCUGGGCCAUCACUGACGCUGAGUUGCGAAAGCUAGGGGAGCAAACAGG